AACGAACGCUGGCGGCAUGCCUAACACAUGCAAGUCGAACGAGACCUUCGGGUCUAGUGGCGCACGGGUGCGUAACGCGUGGGAACCUGCCCUUAGGUUCGGAAUAACUCCCCGUAAGGGGUGCUAAUACCGGAUAAUGUCUUCGGACCAAAGAUUUAUCGCCUUUGGAUGGGCCCGCGUUGGAUUAGCUAGUUGGUAGGGUAAAAGCCUACCAAGGCGACGAUCCAUAGCUGGUCUGAGAGGAUGAUCAGCCACACUGGGACUGAGACACGGCCCAGACUCCUACGGGAGGCAGCAGUAGGGAAUAUUGGACAAUGGGCGAAAGCCUGAUACAGCAAUGCCGCGUGAGUGAUGAAGGCCUUAGGGUUGUAAAGCUCCUUUACCCGGGAUGAUAAUGACAGUACCGGGAGAAUAAGCUCCGGCUAACUCCGUG
rnacentral:rRNA from 1 species